CUUCUUUUCCUUUCUUUUCUCUUCUCUUCUCUUUUCCUUUUUCUCUCUUUUUAUUUUAUCUUUUUUCUUUUUUGCAUAACACGGUGUGGGAGCCUUUCGAACGAGCCGUAUAAUUGAAAGAAAACAUUGGUGUGUAGAACCCCAAAGUCAAACAAAGAUGACCACAGCUUCUUUGGAAAAUCUUGAAUUGGAAAAAAGCGUAAGAGAACAGCAACAUCGUU
rnacentral:ribozyme from 15 species